AACCGAAGCUAAUACCGCAUAAGCCUGAGAAGGGAAAGCAGCAAUGCGCUGAAAGAGGAGCCCGCGGCCGAUUAGCUAGUUGGUGAGGUAAUGGCUCACCAAGGCUCAGAUCGGUAGCCGGCCUGAGAGGGCACACGGCCACACUGGCACUGAAACACGGGCCAGACUCCUACGGGAGGCAGCAGUGGGGAAUCUUGCACAAUGGGGGAAACCCUGAUGCAGCGACGCCGCGUGAGCGAUGAAGCCCUUCGGGGUGUAAAGCUCUUUCGGCAGGGAAGAUUAUGACGGUACCUGCAGAAGCAGCUGCGGCUAACUACGUGCCAGCAGCCGCGGUAAUACGUAGGCAGCGAGCGUUGUUCGGAGUUACUGGGCGUAAAGGGUGUGUAGGCGGCUCUCUAAGUUUGGUGUGAAAUCUCCCGGCUCAACCGGGAGGGUGCGCCGAAUACUGAAGGGCUAGAGUGCGGGAGAGGAAAGUGGAAUUCCUGGUGUAGCGGUGAAAUGCGUAGAUAUCAGGAGGAACACCGGUGGUGUAGACGGCUUUCUGGACCGUAACUGACGCUGAGACACGAAAGCGUGGGUAGCAAACAGGAUUAGAUACCCUGGUAGUCCACGCCCUAAA
rnacentral:rRNA from 1 species